AUACGGAGGAUCCGAGCGUUAUCCGGAUUUAUUGGGUUUAAAGGGCGCGCAGGCGGCCAUUUAAGUCAGCGGUUAAAUCGUGGGGCUCAACCCCAUUCUGCCGUUGAUACUGGGUGGCUUGAUUGCGGUCGAGGUUGGCGGAAUUCGUUGUGUAGCGGGGAAAUGCAUAGAUAUGACGAAGAACACCGAUUGCGUAGGCAGCCUACUAAACUGCCACUGACAUUGAUGCUCGAAAGUGUGGGUAUCAAACAGGAUUAGAUACCCUGGUAGUCCGCACAGUAAACGAUGAAUACUUGUUUUCGGCGAUAUAAUGUCGGAGGCAAAGCGAAAGCGAUAAGUAUUCCACCUGGGGAGUACGCCGGCAACGGUGAAACUCAAAGGAAUUGGCGGGG
rnacentral:rRNA from 1 species